AAGAUGGCGGGAGGGUGCGGCCAAGAGGCUGCUGGGAUUGUGGCGGACCCAGCGGCAAAAUGGCGGCCGUGCGGCCAGGGAGAGGCUCCUUCAAGGUGGUAUCCUGCUGCUGCUGCUUCCCAAGGCCUGACAAGCACAGUCCUACAGGGCUCCACCACAUUAAGUUGCAGACUGACACAGUCAGCUUUCAGCCUUUUUGUGCCUUUCAUGGUCCCUACCCCCAUUUUUUUUCCUAAAUCUGACUAGUAACUUGUAAGAGGGAGUGUUCCAUGGUGUACUGGCUGUCACCCACCAGCUCAGGCCAGGCACUUUAAGAGGAUGGCCACUUGUCUACCACCAACCAAACCAACAUGGCAGGAGGCAAAACCCCCUUACUUUGAAUAACCACGUGAUAUAUUUUCUCUAAAGAAAAUUGCAAGGAUCCUAUGUAACCUGUGACAUGAAUCACUCCCUCUGUCCUGCCUCAUCUGCUGGGGACUGGGGUGCUUAGGCCAUGCCCUGCCAGGGUGGGGAGGGGGCCCAGCAUCACUCUUGUGACCAGCAGGUGCCCUCAGGUGAGCACUCCAGGAGCCCAUGUAGCAGUACAAGCCCCAAGCAGGCAGGAGCCAGUGGCCGGGUUCCAUGUCCAUCUGUUGGUGCCCUUCUGUCGGAAUUUACCCAGCUGCUGAUUUGCAGCUAUGAGUGGCAAAAUGCCACCUGGGUAGGUACAUCUCAUUGGUGAGCUUGAGGAUCCUUGAUUACUUACCAGCUCUCGUCAGUUCCUCUUCAGAUGCUGUUCCACCUCAGUGGGCUGUACUAUGCUCUGUACUUCCUAGCCACACUCCUGAUG
rnacentral:lncRNA from 1 species